rnacentral:lncRNA from 1 species
GAAGCCUGGGCUCAAUGCUGCCAAGACUCCCAUCUCUCCUGGGACGUCUGGUGUCUCUUCCUGCCUCGUCUGGAGCAACUGCACUUUCUCCUGUGGUGUGCAAUGGACGACUCCAUCCUUCACAAUGAGUCUGUUGUAAAGAAAGAAAUUGAAAAUGACUGGACUAGAUCAUUCCUCAGCCUUCCCACAGAUUCUACAGCUUUUUGAAUCUGCCUCCAGGAGAUUCCUGUGAAAAGCCUUACAGCAGUACGGUAUGCACAACAGACACUUGCCAUUCCUAAAGGGGAAGUCAUCUCUCCACUCUGCGGUCACUUACGCAACUACACUGAGCCCCUGUGAGGUGUGAACUCCUUUUGAGGCGAGAGGGCAACAAAUGAGUCCCAGAAUCAGCUGUCUCAUAGUUAUUCUGGAAGGCUGAAUGUCCUCAGCUGUGUGGUUUAUCACCCAAGGCAUCUAUGUUUUUUUUCUUUCUUCCUUGAAAAAAAAAAUUUUUUAAAUAGGUCCUUUUAAAAAAUAUAUAUUUAUCAAUAUCUAUAUAAUAAUAUACACCCACACAUUUAUUCUAUUCAUUUAUUCUUCACGUGUUUACUGAGAGCCUCCCAGGGGUUCUAGGAUCUGGGGACAGAGAAGUGAGCAAAAUGGAAUCAAUACGCUGUCCUCACGGAACUUAGAUUUUUGCAGCUGUUGUUCCCACUCUCCCCACCAGCGCUAGAGAGCCUGGUCUACUCUCCCCACCAGCGCUUGAGAGCCUGGUCUACUCUCCUCAACAGGCUGAAGCUCUGAUCGUUAGCCGACCAGUCAAUCCCAUAAGUACAUUUGAAAGGUUUAGAAUAGUGAUUCUCAAAGUGGAGUCUGGGAACUGCUAUGUGUUUCUGAGACCCUUUUAGGGGGUAUAUGAGGUCGCGUGUGUUUCUAUAAUAACACUGAGGUGUUUGUCUUUCUCAGUCUCUGUUAUGAAUGUACAGGAGAGUUAUCCAAAGGCCACACGGUGUGUGAUAUCAAAACAGACUGAAUGGAGAAGCGGAGAUAUGAAUUCCACUGUCUUCUGUUAAACAGGCCAUUAAAGAUUUGCAAACAUAAGGAACAAUGCCAUUCAUCUCACUAAUUUUUUUUUUAUUUUGGAAAAUA